UACGUAGGCAGCGAGCGUUGUUCGGAAUUACUGGGUUUAAAGGGUGCGUAGGUGGGUAGGUAAGUCAGUGGUGAAAUCUUCAAGCUUAACUUGGAAACUGCCAUUGAUACUAUUUAUCUUGAAUACUUUGGAGGUAAGCGGAAUAUGUCAUGUAGCGGUGAAAUGCUUAGAUAUGACAUAGAACACCAAUUGCGAAGGCAGCUUACUACACAGUAAUUGACACUGAGGCACGAAAGCGUGGGGAUCAAACAGG
rnacentral:rRNA from 1 species